GUGAUCCUUUUAGUAGGUACCGCAGUUGUUGAUGCCCAAGGGAAUGCUGAAGCCGAAUUUACUCUUCGAGGGAUCAAAACAAAUAAUCCUACUACGUUUGGUGACAAUAUUCCCCACUCUAGUGACAAGGAAAAACGAAAACAGCUAACCUCUGCCCGUGUACUAACAGCCCAAUUUGCAAAACAGAUAAUAUCUCGUGAAGACUACUGCAGGUCGGUUAAAUGUCCUUAGUGAAAAAUGGGAUAUACCUAUGGAUGUCCUGGAGUAACAGCAGCUUUCUUCAGGGCCAAUGUUAAGGCCAGUUAAUAGAAUAAAGCACCAGGACUUAAUCAUAAAUGUGAAAAUAUGUACACACUGAACCCUUCUAUGUCAAUGGAAGACUGGUCAUAUAUAAUAAAAUGAAAGUACGUUAACUCUUGUGUUAUGGACUACUUUGUUGUUAGCUUAUUUACUCCGCUAUUGUUUGAAAUGUGUUAUCAUGUAUACACACAUUAGACUGUCUUCCUUGAAUAAUUUUUAUCCAAUGUUCUUGUAGUGUUGAUAUAUUCGAAAUUAUUACUGUAAACACAGCUUACAAAUGAUAAUGUUAUAAUUGAAUUCUGGGAUCUAACGAUUCUUAAUGCUGUAAUGCCUGCUAGCUCAUCACAAGUUUAGGGGGUGUUUGGUUUGGGGCUGCUAAACUCUAGGGAUUAAAGUUUAUCCCUAAACUAUCAAACAUGUGACUAAAAGUUGCUAAAGUCCCUAAAGUUUAGCCCUUUAGUCCCCAAGAGGUUGCUAAAAGGGACUAAAGGAGACCUUGGAUAAGAUCCACCCCUCAUUAAUGCCGCCCGGCCCCCGCCGUCACCCCGACCGCCCUCCCGCCCGCCGUCACCGCUGCGGUCCUCCUUCCGGCCCGGCCCCCGCCGUCGUCGCUCCUACCGCCCUCCCGCCCGUCACCCCCACCGCCGGCCUCCCUCCCACCCGGCCCCCACCGUUGUGGAGGAGGAAGCGCGGCGGGGAUGCCGGAGGGGGAGGCGCACAUGACGAAGCCGGCGUGCUAAGCGUCCUUGUGGGGAUGCCGGAGCGCGGCGGGGAUGCCGGAGGCGAGGGCCAUUGGGGGACGCGGCUGCGAGCGAGACGCUGCCGGCCGCGGCCUUCCUCCAGGUGGGCGUAGGCCACCUCGUACCCGUCCGGCGCGCUGUGGGUGUCGUGGCGGUGGGCAUGCACGAACCCGACGACGGUGACCUCGCGCUAGUGGCCGUGGAAGUCAUCGUCGACGAGGACCUCCACCUCUGCGCCGGGGGCAAAUGGGGCCCUCACAGGGCGGCGAAUGGGGCCCUCACAGGGCCCGGCGGCAGCGGCCAUUGGGGUGGGGAUUCGGGAGUGCGAGUGGGAGGGAGUGGAGUAGGGUUUAGUGGUAGUUUGAUCUUUGUUCAACUGAUUUAAUGGUCUUUAGUUACUGGAACCAAACACGGGGAGUAAAGUUUAGUCCAGUGAAUAGGUGUGGCACUGUGCUAGACUGCUAGUGCUAGUAGGUAUGGGUAGCACAGUUCAGACGUAGCUAGGCACGUGUCGAUAUGUAACUGGGCACAAACACUGCCUCCAGCAAUAGUUGAAUCUUGAGUUGAAUGGAACCUUUGCCCCCAAAGUAAAGUCACAUGCGCAAAAGCUAUGUGAUUCUCAUCCUCUCGCUCAUGUUCAGUCUUCCAUAUAGGUCCCACGUAUGACAUAAUAUAUCAAUAAAACAAAUUAUCUGUUUAGGCUUUCUGGUCUUCCCGCUCCCAGACUCCCACGUUAUCUCGUGCUAAGAAAAGCUAUCGCAUGUUUAUCUUGAGCGUGAGAACACGUUAAUAAAAAGGAAUAUACAUCAUAACCUAAAAAGAUCAUAUCGAUUGCAAUUAAUAAAAAGGUAAAUUCAGAAUAAUAAAGCUAUAGGCUGCUUCCUCCGGUUAUUAUACCUUAUGGUUGUGAUUAGUUCCCUGCACAUACCAUACCCCUGGACAAGCUUCGGCAAUGCAGCAUGCGCAUGAUUGGAUACCUGCGUUUGCCUCUAAGCUUGCCUCAAAUAGUGCAAAAGAUGGGCUGUUGCCUGUCUUCCCGGCAACGCAGUGAGCGAGCGUUUCCACUGAUGAUGGCUUGCACAAGGCUCGGUGGUCUGAUAUGAUGGGGUGGUAGCUUCACCUAUAACGAAUACAAUGUCAUCUUAUCAUAUUGUGCAGCCAACCAAAUAUGAACAUAGCUUACCAAGCUAUCUUUAGCUACCCAACCAAACACGAGCAUCUUACAUUAAUUUAGUCGGAUGAAGAUUGACAUGAGUUAAAGCUAGCUUGACUUAGGAACUAGUGCAACCCAUCACUACCUAAAGGAUCCCAACUAUCCAAACAAGUCCGAAGGAGCGCAGUCUGCGAGUCAUGUCGACACCACUGCAAGUAUGCAGAACAAGAGCGACGAGUCGACGACAGCAUAUACAGCAGACCGAGUCCAAAACAGACAGCACUCACAGCAGCACGCCAAGCAUAGGAAAAAGAUCAAAAAAAAAAAGAAGCCAUCAAGAACGAUUCUCAAGAAAAAUGAAUGGCAUGUCGCAGCCGGUCUUAGUUUGUCAAGAUUGAAGUGUCUUAGUUUUGUCUUAAGUCAAAUUACUUUAAUUACCUCAAUAGGAUUACUCUUCUAUUAGUGCCUUUUCAUAGAUUUUAGAUAUGCUGGUUAAUUCAGCAACGCCAUCUCUCGUCACCACCAUUGUUGUCAGAUUGUUGUCAGGGAGCACGGCAAACUCUAUUAAAUUACAUGCACUACGGAAACCAGAAACUUUGCCAAGUGCCACGGGCACUCGGCAAAGACACGAAAACACUCGGCAAACAGCACACGGCAAAUUUCCUAUCGGUAAAGCCUAGUUUGCCGAGUGUCAAAACUCGAGCACUCGGCAAACAUUUUGCCGACAGCCAAAAAACACUCGGCGAAAAUAUGUACUCGGCGAAAUACGCGCUGACGGCGUCGGGGGUAACGGCGGGUUUGCCGAGUGCCAGACGGUAGACACUCGGCAAACAUAGCGUCUUUGCCGAGUGCCAACACUCGGCAAACAGGGGGUGUUUGCCGAGUGUCAGGGAGUGGGCACUCGGCAAAGCCGGCUUGUUUGCCGAGUGUCUUUGCCCCUGGCACUCGGCAAACAUGGGGUCUUUGCCGAGUGUCAGGGGGUGGGCACUCGGCAAAAAACCUGUCGUGCAGCUGGGAAUUAGGGCCUUUGCCGAGUGCCUUGUCCCUGGCACUCGGCAAACAAGGGGUCUUUGCCGAGUGCCUUGUCCCUGGCACUCGGCAAACAACCUGUCCUACACCUGGGAAAUGCAUCUUUGCCGAGUGUUAAAGUCAAAACACUCGGCAAAGGACCCUCUUUGCCGAGUGUUACACUCGGCAAAGUGACCAGAACCCCCCCUUUUUCCCCGUUUUCCCAGGUAUAACGGACCCCUCUCAAUUCACAAUACACAUCAUCACAGGCAUUUGUAAUAAACAAUCACAUGCAUAAUUCACAACCACCAUUAGAAACAUUAUUCAUAAACACCACAGGCAUAAUUCAACAUAAGCACGUAACAAUCCAUAAAUUCAAGUUCAAGUCACAAUGUAGUUUCAACCAAGUUCACAACCAAGUCUAGUUCCGUGGAUAAUUCACAAACACCAGCGGUCGAACCGUGACUCGGGAGCCCGGUUUUAUACCGGUUUUCCCCCUAAACCCGGUGGUCCGAACGGUUUAUCCCGGUUCAGUUGCACGGGCGAUCUUUUACGUGGAUCGGACCGGCGGGGGCUCCAGUUCCCGGUUUUUUCGGUCCGACUGCCGGUCCGGUCCUAAUAACUAGGGUUUAAACUCCCGUCUCGACUGGGGUUCGAAGCCUGGGGGGAGUUUUAUUUAGCAACAGUAUAUGUAGCAUGUAGCAACCAUCAAAUUGAAAGGAGUACAAUGAUUCAACAUGAUUUUUGCAUUACAAAUGUUGUGACCAAGUCAGGUCAUAGUUUGUAAUCGCAAAAUAAUGAAAAGAACAACUAGAGGUUUCUGUGUCCUUUCAAUGUUUAUACUAGGUCAUCCAAGUGACUACAUCCCCUAUUGCUUCACCCAAUUUAUAAGUUGGAUCUCUCAACCAACAGUGAAUCAUCUUUUGAUUUCAAUACGGUAAUGGUCUUCCAUAAACUGUUCUAUACCAAUUCUAAAUCAUCAAUCGUUUCCAGAUUAAUCUACUCAAGUUGCAAAUGAGCUCAGAUACCUUCCACAUCCAUCAAUUUAAAUGACAAUAACAAGAUAUUACUAACAGUCCUCCAUGCAAAUCAAGUGCUAGAGGAAAUGUCCAACAUGAAACUUAUGGAUACCAUGUGCAAGAUGGAAUGUAAGUUGUUUGGAAAAUACUCCAUUCAGACACAAAAAAGUUCACAUUUUGGACAUGGACAAGGUCUCCAAACACAAUAUUGACUACUAUCUCUGUUUGCUCUGUAUGUUCAUAACCUAAUAAACAGAAAUAUUUCUACCCAAUAUUUCACGCGCACACAUUUCAUAUAGCCAAUGUAAACACACAUGAAGGUGUAGUCGUAGUAAAAAUAUUUAAACUGGUUUCAGAGUUCUACAAACUGGUUUCUUUUCGAUUACUACACUUUUUUGUGACCCUAACUUUUGUUUUAUGGAUGCAGCAAACAAGUUAGGUGUCUCGGGAAGUAUUUAAGCAUCAGUUUUAUUUGGAACUGCUUUAAAUGGUUCUUCAGUGGUGUUGGAGAUUCUUGUGGUUUCGAUAAAUUCCCUUCUUUGGGACUUGAAGCAUUUAAGAAUACGUAAGUUUGCUGUGACUGUUUUUGAUAUUCCAUUAAAGUUCAUGAGUAAAGGCUUGACUGCUAGAUCUGAUCUAAUGACAUGAAAGUACACAUGGAAUAUCAUUGGUACAUCCUCCAGAAAAACUGAAAAUUCCACUCUCUGUAGGUUUUAUUUUGACUUCAGUCCAACCUACAUUGGAUGCGGUCUUAUUUGUCCACACAUUGUUAACUGCUCUACACUUCUUGGUGCCAUCAUAUCGUGGGGUUUCCUUUGGCCAUAUAUAUCAACAAAAGCUGGGGACUGGUAUCCAGCUAACCUAGGAAGCAAUGACUUCAAAGGACUUUAUGGAUACAAGGUGUGGUGAUUGAAAGUUUUAUUUGUUACAUGCCAUUGGUUAAUGCUUCUUUCCAUACUUCAUUUUGACAGUCAACUAGUAAUCUUCUUUAUUCAAUUGUUCUAGAGGCAAUGAAUCACAAGGCAUGAAUGAUAAAAGGAAAUAGUUUUUCUUCUCUCCAUGCUUAUAAACCUUAAAAUCUAAAAGAAAUUUUGGCUGCUGAUGUGAUCCUAGAGUAAUCAAUGUUUCAUUGGUGGACAUAGUGUUGGUGAGAACCGUGAAAUUUGGUUCAAGACUGAUAACUCAGUGCUGAAAGCAUAGAGUGUCUAGUCAGCCUUACAUCUUAAUUGUAUUUGUUAUGCAUUUAUAUAGUGAAAUAACUUAUGGAUAGCAUAUCUAGCUCAUUUAGUUCCUAGAGAAUUUUUGGUUUACAUGGUGAUCACUGAUCAGUCUUCACAACUUUAGUUCACCAACAUUAAGCUGUAUUUCUUCCCUGUGUUCCAGGUUUUUAUAUCUGUAUCUGUGAUACUUGGGGAUGGUCUCUAUAAUCUCAUCAAGAUCAUUUAUGCUACUAUCAAGGAAAUAAUGAAUGCACGGGCGAAGCAAGGAAGACUUCCACUUGGCCGGGUUCAGGAUGGUAAUGUGAUUUUCCUAUCACUACCGGAAACAGUAAAUUCGCCGAGUGUAAAAAUUUUGCCGAGUGCUUUCCUUCGAGCACUCGACAAACAACCUUUUUGCCGAGUGUAUUGAACGCGACACUCGGCAAACAUAUUACACUCGGCAAUAAGGUCAUUUGCCGAGUGCCGUAAAUUCGACACUCGGCAAACCUCUCAGUGACACUCGGCAAAAGUCCGACACUCGGUAAAUCAACGGCGCGUGCAUCGCACGUGCGCCGUCCGUCACCGGACUGGGGCGGCCGUUAGUCCUUUGCCGAGUGUUGGACUCCGACACUCGGCAAAGAGGCCCUUCGCCGAGUGCCACCCUCCCACACUCGGCAAAUCCAGAAGGUCGCCGAGUGCCAACGCAAGACACUCGGCAAAUGUGUCACUUCGCCGAGUGCCUCACCCUGGACACUCGGCAAACAUAUUACUUCACCGAGUGUAAAAAUUUGGCACUCGGCGAACAAAAAAAAAAUUUCGUCCCCCGGCCUCCACACUUUUUCUACUCCCCACGUAGGAGAUUUUGUAAUCCAUAAUAAAAGUUGGUAUAUUUUGUGGUCUGUUUGCUAUUUUUAAUGAAAUGAUUGCAUUAAUAGGAAUUUUUUUAUUCAUGUCAGAUUUUAACUGCAGGUACAUGAAAGGAUGGUUUAUAAUCAGUGGAAAAAUUAUAUCCAUAUUAUGGAGUCCGGAUUGAGUUCUCAACCAGGAAAUGAAAACAAAUUUUCAACAUUGUUAUUAAAAAACACGACCACGAACGUGUGGUUGAAUGGUUGUUAAAUUCUAAAAAAAGCAAACGAAAUCUGAAAAUCACAAGAUUUGUCAAGAUGUCAUGAUAUUAUGUGUGGAGGCUGUGGUAAAAAAUUGAGAAGGUUUCGCCCAAUUUCUAACAUAGGAUGCUUAGAAGCUGACUCAUCUCCUGGAAGGAUUCAUAGAAGUUAGAGAGGACACAAUAAGAUUUAUAGUCCAAGUGACACUUGAGUUAAGGUUUGGCUUCAAAUCUUUUUGUAUAGACAACAUACAACACAGAUUGGUUCGUGUCAAAAUUUGGAAAUUUUUCGGAUGCGUUUACUAUUUUUUAUUGAUUAAAUGCAAUUAUAGAUUUUUAGUAGAUAUAAAUGCAAUUUGCGCUAUAACUGCAUGAAAUAAUAGAACAUUAUCUGUAGAAAAAUAAUUGUUGAGUGAUGUUCACACGAUUUUGCCCAAGUAUAUUAGAAAAAGAUAUGUAAAACAGGUUGUCGAAGAAGGUACAUGAAAUAUUAGUCUAUUUUGCCGAGUGUAUAAAAAAACACUCGGCAAAAGCUACCUUACCGAGUGUUUUCCACAUACACUCGGCAAAAAGGGGUACAUUCGGCAAAGAAGGUACACGGGCCCACUGGCAGUAUUCUCCUCUUCCUUUAAAAAAAGAAAAAUGUGGCAUUGCCGAGUGCCUUGGAUCUGGCACUCGGCAAAGAAAGAAGGUUUGCCGAGUGCCAGAUCGCAGGCCCUCGGCAAUGUACCUGGCAGGUCGAAUUUCGUGCGCCAACAGAUUUAAAAAAAAUUGAAUCUUUACUUUGCCAAGUGCCAGAUCGCGGGCACUCGGCAAAGAACCGGACUUACAUUUUCAGCCGAACCGCCGCGCGCGGCCUGGCCUCUAUCCUAAAAUCGAAACCACUACGCUCCUGUCUCGCCCGCCACCGCCACCCGCUGCCCGCCGCCGCCGCCCGCUACCCGCCGGCCACCAUCGCCCGCCGCGCUCGCCCGUCGCCGACGCCCCGGUGCCCCCACCCACGGCCCCGGUGCCCCGCCCCGCCGCCCCGACGCCCCGCGCCCUUGGCGCCCCGCAGCCCCUUGCCCGCCGCCCGUGCCCCGGUGCGCCGACACCCGCUCCGGCCCCGGCGCCCCGCCCCAGAGCCCCGGCGCCCCGACGCCCUGGGUCCGGCGACCCCGCCGCCAGCCCCGGCGCCCCCUGCCCGGUGCCCCAGCCCACCGGCCGCCCCCGCCCCAGCCCCGGCGCCCCCUGCCCCGCGGCCCGCCCCACCGGCCGCCCCCGCCCUGGCCCACUGGCCGCCCCCCCCGGCCCCAGCGGCCCCGGCACCGGCGCCCCCGGCCUCCCCGGCCCGUGCCCCCCUGCCACCGGCGUCGUGGACCUUGGUGCCCCGCCCCUGACGCUCCCGCCGCCGCUGGACGUCCAUCGACUUUCUAGGCCGGCGUCCCUCACCCUCCCGGUAAUGAAUAUUUCUUUUUCAAGUUACAAAUUCAGAAUUAGGAAGUAGGUUAAAAUUAGAAAUUAGAAAUUAGAAAUUGUAGGGCUGUAGUUGUAGAAAUUAGAAAAUGAUGUUUUGCUUGAGAAUCUAAGGUAUAAGAAUGUUUGUGGAAGUCAGCCAUCGUGCCGUUCCGUCUUUUGUACAUGUGGUUGUCGGCCAUCGUGCCGUUUCAUUUGAUGCAGGUUAUGGUAACCUCCACGUGCAGGGGAGGUGCUGCCGAAAAUUUUAGUUGACAGUUGUAUGUUCUUUUUUUGCAGGAGAGGCUACGUUACCGUCCUCGAGUCGUCACUUUGUACAAUAGCAAGGUGAGUCAUCCUAUACCUCUAUUGAUACGUGUGACAGCGAUGAUGAUGAGACUUAUGAUCCAGCUAAUCCUAAUCAUGACGAUUAUUUCUAAGACAUGUAUGGGCCGUACAAAUUUAUUUAUUAUUUGUCAUACCAUGUUAUUUAUUAAGUAUGUUUACUUUAUUUUGCACAUCUUAUACAUUAUGUUUUGUUUAUCUGUGCUAAUUGGUUAACUCUUGGCAAAUGCAGGUGACUUAACAAUGGUGGGCAGUACGAGGAAGAUUGUAGCGCUUUACGAAAAAUUAAAAGUUGCAGCUUCAGGGUCAGGUACAAGGUCAGACGCAUCUUGAGGUCGAGGGAGGCGUCGAGGGAGGGGUGGAGGCAAGGGUGAUGCACAGGCCGAGGAAACGGAGGGAGCACAGGUCCUUGCUAGAGGCAGGGGUCGGGGCAGGGGUCGAGGAAAGGGUAAAGGGGUGAGGCCCCCCUCGCCUGCGCCUUUGUCGUCGUUGGAGGAGGAGGUACCUUCCGCGCACGCUUCUAGUGACGAGGCGGAGUUACAGCAGGAGCAGGAGCAGGAGCAGGAGAGGGAGGCAGUUGAGGAGGCAGGGGAUUCGUAGUCCAAGAUCUGGUUGCGAGGUCCCUCGUCCCUCCUGAGGCGACCGAUCCCUCUUCAUUUACGCCCACUGAUUCAACCCACUGGGGCAAAGUAAGUUCCUUUACAUAUUCUCAGUACUUUUGAUAUGUUGAAAUUUACAAUAGAAACUAAUAAUGUAUAUUACUCACUUGUGCAGGAGUUGGACUAAGCUCAGUGGGGGUGCCCACAACCGCAAGGUCAACGGCAUCAUCGAUCUUUUGUGUAGGCUACACUUCCCUGGUCUAGUGGUCUUCGCCGGACAGGAGGAGCCGGCCUACACGUGGGACCACUACGUCGCCGCCGCCGACGUCGGUGAUCGUGACCACAGGCAAUUUGCGAACAAGGCGGAGCGGGUGAAGGCUGAGCUGUGGGUAAGUAUUCGAAGCACUAGAUUGCUUAAUACACAAGUUUCUCUAGACAUUCUUGAAAAAAUACUUGUUUGCAAUGUGUCUAUACGCAGGACUUUUAUAGAUGCCAAGAGGGAUUCAAGGCUAGGGCGGCCUCCGUCAUUGAACAAGCCGCCAAGAAGCUCGUUAAGGACAUGCACUACGAGGCGCGGGUUCAGGCCAUCAUCGACUUCUAUGCUGAAUACAGAAGGAUGAGGGUAAAAAAAGAAGAGGCCAGGACAAUGAACCUGACCAAGGAAGAAUUCAUGAUGGUACGUACAGAAAGUUAAUAUUUAGUAUUUCUGAGAUUAAUUACGCUUCACUUCUUUUGUUAUAUGUCACACACUUGAUGAUGUAGGUGCCUCCGUGGUGGUGCCGAUCCUUUACCCGGUGCUGGGAACAAAUGGUGGACGUGUGGUUGCAGCCCGGGUGGUUGGAGAACCACAUUGCUUGCCGGGAGCGGCGUCUGCAGAUGCCAUAUGCACCACACCAUCAAGGCAGCCUGAGCCUUGAUGAAUACAAGAAAAAAUGGGUACGUGAAUUCAUUUCUUUAUUCUCACAUAUAAUGCACAUAAUACUGCAUAUUUUGUAAUCCUUUUGUAUUUUUGCCGCAGACGUCAUCACAUGAAGGCCAGGAGUGCUCCCGGUUCAAGGCAUGGGUUAUGUCCAAAAAGGGCAAGGCCUCGGCAGACAUCGACUUCAACCCGGAGGACCCGCCCGAGGCAUACAGCCAUCCCAGCAUCCACAGCCGCGUCACCGAAUACACAGCAAUGGCGAGGGAGGUUCAUGGGCCAGAGUUCGAUCCGAGCUCUCAGGAUAUUGAUCCUGAAAUUGUGAUGAGGGUAGGAGGAGGGAAGAAGCAUGGUAGAUACUGGAUUGGAGAUAGCGUGAUCGACACUGCCAGUACUCCCACCCUCUCCCAGAUCCGAGCAAGGAGCACGGACUCGAGCCCCGCGAUACGGGCACGGCCUACCGCUGCACAGUUACAGAUGCAGGCUCUGCAGGUUAUUCCUGUUUCUUUAAUUUUUCAUUCAUUUUGUACAUAUCUUUUGCUUGGCAAUAAGACAUUGGGAUGAAAUAUUGUAGGCCCAGGUGGAGGUAGAACGGAAGCGCCGGGAGGAACUAGAGGCGAGGAUCGAGGCGGAUCGGCAGCUAGAAAGGUAGAGGACGGAGCAGAUGUUCCAAUACAUGCAGAGUGUCUUUCACAGUUCAGGUCAGACUCCACCACCUAUGCCACCGAACCUGUUCCCGUCACCUCGACCACCUCCUGCAGCUACUCCUGUGAGUCACUCUCAACCUUACAAUCAAUCUAGAGUUAAACUAGAAAGUACAUGCAUUACAGACUUACACUAGAAAAGUGACUAAUGCAAUCUCUAUAACUUUGUGCAGAAUCAAUCGGCGGCGUCCAAUGCAGAAUCUUCUUGGGGGCAGUGGCCACCUGCACAUACUCCUUAGCCUCCUCAUCCACCUCAUCCUCCUCAGUGACUUGUGAACUAGAGGUGUUAGCUGUGGUAAAACUUGUGAAUUACCUGUUUCGACGAGAACUUGUGAAUAUUAUUUGUGUGCUUGUGGUGCAAUUUAUAUGCCUGUGGUGUAAUUUAUAUGCAUGUGCUUCUCUGGUUGUUUUUUUGAGAGGGUCUUUUAUACGUAACAUUUUUGUUUUGUAGGAGGAGCUCGGGCACUUUGCCAAGUGUUAACACUCGGCAAAUAGGCCAUUUUCUGUUGCAUCGACGUCUUUGCCGAGUGCAUUGCCAAAACACUCGGCAAAGGCAUCAUAAAAUUUUUGCAGGUUUGGCCCGUUUGCCGAGUGUCAAGAGGAAGGCACUCGGCAAAAUAUGCAACUUUGCCGAGUGCCACUAGGAAACACUCGGCAAACGGCUGAAAUAAAUCUGGCGGGGUGGGGCCUAUUUGCCGAGUGCCGCAUAAAAUACACUCGAGAGUUCCUGUUUGCCGAGUGUCAUCAAAAAAUACACUCGGCAAACUGUGUACGUUCACCGAGUGCAAUGUAUAAAUACACUCGGCAAAAUUUAAGGGUUCGCCGAGUGUCUGCCGUCUGACACUCGGCAAAGUAGCUGUUACCAUCGCUGACCGUUACCGCCUUUGUGCCGAGUGUUAUAUUUUGCCGAGUGUUUUGUGGCACUCGGCAAAGUCUUUGCCGAGUGCCCGAUGGUCGACACUCGGCAAACACACUGUUUGCCGGAGGGAACUUUGCCGAGUAGAGUUCGCCGAGUGUUACACUCGGCAAACCCUUUGCCGAGUGUAUUUGGCCCUUCGCCGAGUGCCUGGGGCACUCGGCAAAGUUACUGUUUCCGGUAGUGUAUGUUAUGCUUCUUACAUAUCCAUCAAUAUAGCAGGAUCUUAUGCUUCAUUCUUGAACAGAUGAUGAAGGUUCUAAAUUAUCAGCUGAAGAAAAGUUUCUGAAUGAGACAUUCAUAAAGGACAGUAUCCCUCCCUGGUUGGCAGGAUCUGGCAUUGGUAGAGAAUUGGCCUUUAGUCCCGGUUGGUAGGGUGCAUAUCUCUCGGAUAUCCAUCCGGGAUAAACCAACCGGGACAAAAGGAGGGGGGUCUUUAGUCCCGGGUCUUUUAACCGGGAGUAAAGACCCCCCUACGCCACCAGAAGAGUGAUCCUGGGGUCAUGGAUAGCAGAGUGACAGCACAUGCGGCAACAAAAGAGUGACAUGGAUAGAAGAGUGACAGUUCUCAACAGGCACAAACUUAUGACAUAUCGAACUACUCUCUUAGCAAUACUAAAUGCUAGGCUACAAAUAUAUUACUAAACUUGCAUAGAAACAUGAUGCUCAUGGGCACUGAGAUUUCCAUACCUACCUCGACUGAAGAGACUCUUAUUGUCCUUUUCUUGGGAAUAAUAUAUGCUAGGACACCAAUAUUUNNNNNNNNNNNNNNNNNNNNNNNNNNNNNNNNNNNNNNNNNNNNNNNNNNNNNNNNNNNNNNNNNNNNNNNNNNNNNNNNNNNNNNNNNNNNNNNNNNNNCGCGGUACUACCGUCUACGCGACGCAUGCAUGAAAAAUUCAGGCGCCACGCCAGCGCCACGCAGGCGCCAUUCAGUCCCCGUUGAGUCCCGGUUGGAUUUCCCAACCGGGACUCAACCGGGACUAAAUGGCGCCUGCAUGGCACUGCCGUGGCGCCUGAAUUUUUCAUGCAUGCAUCACGUAUACGUAGUACCGCGGCCCUUUUAAUUUGUUAACCUUUAGUAGUUGAGAUUUUUUUAGAAUGAAAUCAACUAGUAUUUAAACGAAUGGGAUUUGUAAUUAUACAAUUACUAUAUAUAUACACAAUCCUUAUACACAAUUCAUAUACACAAUUCAACUAGCUUAGUACAAAUCGAUCAUAAUUAGCGCGUAUUAUAUAUACAAAUAAAUCAAAGUAUCUGUCUACAAUCUUCCCGUCGUGGUGUUGCUGAUCGGAGUGUCUAAUUGUCGUCCAUCGUAAUAAAAUUCUCCUUUUGGAUCUACCACCUCGUCCAUUAUGAAUCCAAUGAGACCUUCACAUAUUGCCGCUACUCUUUCUUCCUUCAAGAGUCCUUGUUGAAUAUUUAACAUCUAUAAUUUGGAAAUUUGUGAAUGUUACACGAACAAAUACAUAUAAGGAGCUAGAAAAUAAUUAACUAGUAAUAGUUUUAUUUUACAUACUUUAAAGUUGUGCGGCGUCAUCUUCGGUCCCUUGGGUCCCAUAAAACUGUGCAUGUGCUCACAGAUGUAGUAGCCACAUAGAUUAUUCCCGGGUUCCUGUCUUAAGCACUUCAGUGCGGAAAAAAAUAAGUUAUGAAAUAUUCGUGUUAUACAAUGUAAUAAAUGUGCAGACUUCAUACGUACCGGGAAGUCUGUGUUCCAUGUAAGUUUUUCUUUGAAUGGACCUUUGUGUGUCCUUAUGAAUUGUUUCCAUGCGCUGCGGAUUAGAAUAAUGAAUGAUAUAGUGUAACAGGGAUAAAAUUUAGGAAAUAAACUUUUGCAUGGAGAUAAAGGUCCAGAAUUAUUACAAGCCUAGCAUGUCUUGCAAUUCUUGGUAGUCCACCGGAUCUUUCCGUAACGAAUCAAAGACAGUGACGUGGCUUCUUUCAGGCUCAAUUAUAAUAAGGAUCCAGUGGAAGCUGCGUGCGUAAAAUGUUCAUGCAUAUUAGAGCUAACUAACAUGUAGAGAUAAGGAAAAAGACAUCAAAAGUAGACGGUAUACACACACUUACUUGAAGUUGUAUGGAAGUAGUAUGAAAUCCUUGAAUGUUUGUUUGUCUAGGAAGUUGUAUAUUUCCGCAAAGGUUUUUUCCGGAGCUAAUUGUAUCUGUUGUUGGUUAACUACAGAUGGAUCCAUGAAGCCUAUAUGUAGGUACGCCUCUCGGCGGCAUGUCUGAAUUAGCAUCCUACAUGAAAUGGAAGAUGAAGUUAGUACGGUGACGCACGCCAAAAUUUACAUGUAGAGAUAAACGGACACUUGCAGAAUCCAAGCGCUGAUCAGAGAGACGUCCAGGGCAUCAUGAUGGUACACUUCGUAUAUAUCCUUGAAGUCUAGCCACAGCACUUUCUCCCCUUCACCGUGAAAAUCUAUCGGUUUUACCUUCAUGCCGAUCAUCUCCCUCGAGUCGGCGGAUGCCAUCAUGUACCAUUGAUGGAAUGCGUACAUCUUUGUUGAUAGCUUCCGUACCAAUGAAGGCUUUACUAGAGGUUUGCCUAGCUCAUAAGGCCACUUCGGCUCAGGGGGCGGUGCAGUUGGCGUCUCAACCUGCCCUAUGCAUUCAUCAAGUCCCAGACCUGUUUCUUCCAUGAACUUCAAUACAUUUGCUUGUUGAUCCAAGGGCAUUGCUUUUACCCGUUGAGCAUCUUUUUUUGAUAAAUGGCUGAGGUCGGGGACUGGACCGCUGGAAGAUGACUUUCCUUUCCUUUUAUCCUUUUCAUCAGCCUUUACUAGAGCCCAUUCAUAGUUUGACAAGAGUGGUAUCCUUUUCUUGGCUCCUUCUUCCAUCCUGAUAAAAAAGUUUAAAUCUCGCCGACUUACUGGCGGUGGCUCCAUCUCCCUUGCUUUUUUUUCUUCGGCUUGUUUCUUGAACCACUCACUGGCCUCUCGUUGGAUUUCUGCCCACUGUUCCGCAUGAGACAUUGCCUCAAAGCGUUCCUUACGAGUCACUUCAGGCUCCUUUGUUUUCUUCUUUCUCUGUCUUUGCUUGGGAGGCGGUGCUCGUGACUUCUUUAGUGGUGGUGCAGGUUCCUUCAAGGGGGCCGCUCUUGGUGCCGGCGACGGUGAUCGGGGAGGGGUGUUGUUAUUGUCGUCGUCGCUCCCAGCACCAGGAUGUGGUGGAGAUGGAGACCUUGAUAUAGAUGGAAGGGACGGUCCUGGAGCAGGAGAUGACGGUCUCGAGGUAUGAGGAGAAGGUCGCUGCUGGGGAUCUACGGGGAGCGGUCUUGAGGUCUGAGGAGAUGGCUCCGUGCCGGGAAUAAUGAUGUAGCGUUUUUGCCAUAGAAUGAUCCCAUGAAGCGCAUCUGCCAAUGUCUUUCCCCGUCGCCUCCCGGGAAGUCGAGCUCUAGACCUUCAUACUGGGGAUCAACUAUUUGCUCUACGCAGACGCUGGCGUAGCCUGUUGGAAUUUCCAUGCCAUGACUGCUCUGCCCCGCCAGGGUUGCUAACGCACUCCCGUACGCUACCUAUACAUAUAGCAGAAGUAAACAAGUUGAACUCCGAUCUUGAGGCCUGGAUCAAUUGACAAGAUUGCAUAAAUAUUAUGUAUAAGUAUACCUUAAUAGUGAGGUUGCCGACCGGUGCAUGCAGCUCACAUGAGGUCCGUUGUGUGAUGGCAUCCACGGGGAACCGUUGCUCCUCCACGGGUAACCUGGGCGUCUGCGCAUCGGGGACCCCUGUAGAAGCACAACUGCUCAAGAGGCGUUGAGAAGGGCUGGCGGUGUUAGGAUUUGGCAAUGCUCCAGAUUGGGCCAACUCCGCAACUGCGUGGGCCACCCGCCGAUUGAUUUCAUCCAUCAUUCUUUGUUCUAGCAUCUGCCGCCAGCUCUCCUCGAUCUGUUCCUUUCUUCGCUUCCGGCUUCUGUACGAGGCGCUGUCGCCUCGGAAAGCAAACUUCCACGGAACCACCCCGAACCCUCGGCAACGUCCUGGGUGCUCUGGAUUACCGAGGGCCAAUGUGAGCUCAUCAUUUUCUCGGUCCACCUUCAACCUCCUAGCCUUAGAAUCUUCAAUGUUCUUCAUGAGAUGUUCGGCCUUCUCACAUAUUGUGUCAUUAAAAAUCAACGUCCCAUCCUCUUGGCUUAGGGAGCCUCCAUGAGCGUAGUACCAAUUUUUUGAUCGUUCGGGCCAUUCAAUAGUUGCAGGUACAAUUCUCCGUUCGAUCAGAUCUUGUUCCAUCUUCCUCCACUUGGGAAUUGCUGAGCCAUACCCACCUCGCCCCAAAUGAUGGUGGUAGCCCUUCUGACUAGCAUUUGCUGUGUUGGUCGUGAUCUUUUUCACACCUUCUUCACUCCUCUUAUAUUCAACAAAUGCAUCCCAGUGGUCCCUCAACUUUGGCCACGCGUUGAAGUCUGGAGUUCGGCCCUUCUUGAUGUAGUGGGUAUCCAGCAUCUUCUUGAAUGUCUGGAAUUGAGUAGCCAUCUUCUUAAGCGUCCACGCUUUGACAUCCUUCUCACUAUAUCCUUCGGGGAAUGUGAAAUGUCUCUUCACGUCUUCCCACAGCAUAUUCUUUUCUGUCUCUGGAAGGGCGUACGGAUUAGUGCUUCUGCCCUUCCAUUCUCUGAUGCUGAUAGGCACGUUGUCCCGGACGAUUGCCCCGAUCUGACUCACGUACUUCUUUGCUACUUUCUCGGGAGCAACCGGCCUGCCCUCUUCUGUCACUUCCGUGAUGACAAGCCUCCCUUCCAUCACCUUUGUAUGCCCUUGUGUCGAUCCGGAGGGCUAACAGUUCAAGAUUUGUUAAUUAGUACGUAGUAGUAACGGUGGCGUGAAACAAUACAAGAAUUGUUAUAUAUACCUCGCCGGAACCUUCCGCCACGGCAAGUUGUUGCUGCGGCUGUUGCUCUUCAUUCCCAUCGGCGGACAUGUUGAGGAACAUGUCCGCCUGGGUGCCCUCUUCAUCCGUGUAUGAUAGUGGAACGUUGUCGCCACUACCAUCACCAGCGAUUAUCUGCUCCAUGAUAUACCUUGCGGUCUCAUCGUCUGCCAUUUCAACUAUUGAUGGAAACAUACAUGGAAUCAUACAUGACAGUCAUAGAAAUCGUCUUACUACAAAUUUCUACAAAGUCCUACAAAGUCCGGAAUCAUACAUGUAUAUAAUGAAAUCAUAAAAUAACAUGAAUCCUACAAAGUCCGGAAUAUUUAUACAAAUUUCUACGAAUUUCUACGAAUUUCUACGAAUUUUGACGAAUUUUGACGAAUUUCUACGAAUUUCUACGAAUUUUGACGAAUUUCUACGAAUUUCUACGAAUUUAUGGUGCAUUUGUAGAAAAUGGUUUCAUUUAUGGUCGUGUGAUAAUAUGGUGUGACUGUAGGAACAUUUUAAGCAUGAUGAUUUAUUUAGUAUAAAAUGUAAAGUUAUUCACAGUAUUUGUUUCAUAAAUUAAACUUAAUAUAUAUCUAAAUAAAAUAUCAAAUAUUCCUGGUAUAAGGGAAAAUAGUAAUAAAACACAGACCAAUAUGAGAAAAGCAAAUUACUGUUACCUAGCCAGAGGGAUAAUCAUUUUGGAACUAGGGUAGAUAGUGGUUCCUAGGCAUGCGUGCAUGUUCAUUCCAAGCAUCAAAGCAAGCAAAAAUAUGGAUGACAAUAAUUUUGUCGCCAUAUCAUGAAAAUGACUGAACGGAAAACAUAAUUACAAACAAAAAAUUAAAAUGGUAAACCGGCCAUUUGGUCUCUAAGUUGGAUAUUUCUGUGACUUGAGAUAGCUUAUUUUGUACGACAUGUUGUGGCCAGCAAUAAUAAAUCCACCAAAGUCCUUGCGAGUAUAUGUGAGAAUAGCUGACAGGGUAACACUCCUGCUCCUAUUUGUCUUUCUGUGUCCAAUUGAUAUAUGUGCUAGGCAUCCCUCCUAAUUUGAUUGUUGUUAUGUACUGAAGCUGAUUAGCUAACCAUCCCAAUUAAUUUAAGUACUUAUUUCUUUUUUUCCUUUUAGAGGUUGCUGCUCAGUGUGUUGAAAAAUAUUGGUGUCCUAGCAUUUAUUAUUCCCAAGAAAAGGACUAUCAGAGUCUCAUCAGUUGAGGUAGGUAUGGAAAUCUCAGUGCCCAUGUGCAUCAUGUUUCUCUGCAAUUUUAGUAAAAUAUUGGUAGCCUAGCAUUUAGUAUUGCUAAGAGAGUACUUUCGAAUGUCAUAAGUUUGUGCCUGUUGAGAACUGUCACUCUUCUAUCCAUGUCACUCUUUUGUUGCCGCAUUUGCUGCACUGUGGCUAACGAUGACCCCAGGAUCACUCUUUUGGUGGCCUAGCAUGUAUACUUUCUUGUUGUUAAUAAUGUGGAUCUUGCAUUACAUCCAUUUUUAAGUAACAAAGGUCUGAUGCCCUGGUAUUGCAAUAUUUGAUUGGUCUUUCCUCACGAUUCCUUUUCUUUGUGAUGGAAUUGAUUUCAGAUGUGCAUGGCCUAAUCGUGUGAAAAAUACAUCGAAACAAUCAAGUUCACCAGCGUGAUUACUUUUCUUAUUACCGCAAUUUAGGUAGUUGUAUAGUACAGUAUCAUAGAUGAAUAAACAUUUAUGGUAGUUGUAUAGUACAGCAUCAUAGAUGAAUAAACAUUUGCAAAGAUGCUCUGAGAAAAAAUAGAUCUUUGCUUUUCUUUCCUAUCUUAUGGAUUAAAUAUGCUUUCUCUCCUAUCUCAGGUGCUCAGUGAACUCCAUCUUUUGCUGCUCUCAUGGUAGCUGUUUGUUACCAUGUUAAUCAGGUGGGAGAGUGGAUUUUGUUCUACACAGCUUGGAGCUACACAAUUGAAGUUUGGCACCUUCAAGCUGUUGAUAUUCAGGCUAUAUUGGUAUGUGCACUAAUGACUGGCUUCUAUUUUGUUAAGCUUGUCAUUUUUCAUGAUCUUUCUAUUAUUUGAAUGUAUUACAUAUUAUCAGUUGUUGUCUUAGUGUAUUAAAUGUAGUUUGCUAUUUUUUUGAGGUAAAUUACAGAGAGGUAAAUAAAUAUCAUCUGCUGCUCUGGUUUAUCAUCUCUAACUCAACAACAUGUUUUCUAGAGAGAAUUUUUUUGUUAGUAUUGGCCUCCGAACUGAUUUUUAUUUUUAUUUUUAUGAAAAUGGCAGGAUUAGAUGUGCUUCUUUUUUACUAUAUUGAUAUUUCACCUCUUUUGUAUAUUCUGUUAACAUUGUUAGUGCUGCAGCGAAGACAUGCCGAAUUAUGUAAAGCAACAGGCUGUCAUCAUCAGUCACUUUAGGUGAUAUUAUAAUGUAUGGAGGCAGCUGAUUUCAGUUACAUGAGUUUCUUAAUUACAGUUCUCUGAACUUGGCAGGCGCAUCACCUCUAUUACUUCUGCGUUCGGAGAUGACUACUUAAGCGUGCAGAAGCACUAGCUGCUUUGAUAUUUGUUAGGUAACCACCAACCAUGUUUUCAGUGCCAUGAUGAUCGAUUGUUUAACCAUUCAUUUCACACUGGUCAUGUUGACUAAAUGUAUUUAUCAUAUUAUUCGUUCUACUGUCAGCUCUACAAGAACAAUGAGAAAUCUAGAGCUGUUCUCCCCAUAAUGAUUUUUAUUAUAUGUUCUUUCCUGAACCCCUUUAGGUGUAUAACUAAGUGAUGCUUUUGGAAUGAUCUGUUAGGAUAUGCUGAAUAGACAAGUUUUGUGCCACUCAUUGGUUUAAAAUCGAUCUUACAAAUUUGUCAUCAACCAUUGCUACUGUGGGUCCAGCAAGCAGUGUGUUCUUAAAUGUGAGUGCCUUGCCGAUAUACAUUAGUUUGCUUCCUGCAGCUAUGAGAAACCAAGUGCUAUCAUGGAAUUGUGCGGUCGUUUUCUCUUCGCGAUGCAAUGAUCUUUUCCUGGGGAGGCUUGCCAGGGUGCUGCUGCUUUGUGCCUUGACAUGGCUGCAUCUUCCAUCCGCACAAGUAAAGAUAGGAGGUGUGGCUCAUGGAACGGUUGAGGUAAUGCCUUCCGCAUCCUUUAUGUCUGUGUUGAUAUGUGCAACAGUGGUAGUCGUGGGAAGCGGAGUAGAAGAAUGCAAGAUUCCUCAAGCAUCAGAGGUCCACCAAGAUCUCUUUGGUGCGAUAUGGCCACUGCACGCAACAUGUUUGUUGAAAUGCCUAGAGGAAGAGAGCCCGACUGACGGUGACUGUUGUAUUUCCCUCUUGGAAGAUUUAACAUUCAAGGUGUGUAAUAUUAAAGUAUAUUGAAUGUAAAUUGUUUUUAGUGUUGAUGUGACAUAGAAUAUGGCAUAUCGCAUCGUGUGAACUUUAAGAAAUAUACACUAUUUUUUGUUUUAUUUGCAUUAUGAAAUAUUACGUACCGUAGCAUUAGCAUGGGCAUUUUACCGUACAUAUAUCUACCUAAUAUUAAAUUACGGUUGUUUAUUCCAACCGUCAUGGUUGUUUUGCAUUCCAACCGUCAUGGAAUAUGUCUGGACGAUUUUGAAAAAGAUCCUGACCCAAGGUCUAGCCGUUGCUCUGUUCUUUUGUCCUGCCCACAUAGCGUGCUUGCCGGCGGCGGCUCGGGACACGCGCAACUGCUCCAUUGCUCGCGUGGCCAACUCUCCUCGCACUCACCACGCACUAUUGCUGCUCAUCCGGGACCUCACACUCUCAAUCACGUCUAUCCCCUGCAUAUCCAGAACUAAGGUCUCCACAUCUAGCAAUUGGGGGUUCGAUUUUGCACUUGAUUGGAAUGAUUUGGAGUGGAUUAUAGAAGGGAGGUGAAUGGAAAUGAGAAGAAGAGGAGAACACACUACUACUCAUGGCGGCCGGAGGCGAUGUGGCCUAUCGCUCGAAGCAGGAACGAGGCUAGGCACGGGGAGGAUGAGUGCUUGCCUGGGCGAUGGCAAGGACGGCAAGAUGCGCAUCGCCUGGGCGACGACGAGAUGGGGUAAAAUGCGGGUGGCGCCAAUGGACGAAGAGGCAGUGAUUGGCUGGAUGAUGACGAGUACGAGGGAAAUCGAAUGGAUGGAUAGAGCGGAGGUUAAGCAGUGAAUUUUUUUUUGUUUCCAUAUGUUGGUCCCAUGUAAUAAACACAUAGCAUCAAACCACCCACAAAUUACUGGCAAUAUUUUGUGAAGCGAAACUAAGAUAUUAGGAACAAGCGAAUAAUAAUGUGAGAGUAAGUAAGGAUCCGUAGCAACGCAUGGGCAAUUCUACUAGUAGUAAUAAAACACAGACCAAUAUGAGAAAAGCAAAUUACUGUUACCUAGCCAGAGGGAUAAUCAUUUUGGAACUAGAGUAGAUAGUGGUUCCUAGGCAUGCGUGCAUGUUCAUUCCAAGCAUCAAAGAAGCAAAAAUAUGGAUGACAAUAAUUUUGUCGCCAUAUCAUGAAAAUGACUGAACGGAAAACAUAAUUACAAACAAGAAAUUAAAAUGGUAAACCGGCCAUUUGGUCUCUAAGUUGGAUAUUUCUGUGACUUGAGAUAGCUUAUUUUGUAGGAAACAAGGAAUGUUAACACACUUUUGUACCAGACAUCCAUAGUUAUCGCACUUCUCACAAACUUGAUGCUUAUGCUAUUAUCCUCCUCAUCACAGAGGGUCCGCUCGUUGUUAGUGCUCAUGGUGUACAUGUUUUACUAAUUUUAGUAACAACUUUUGCUAUAUUCAUACCAAAAAUGCCACUUGGCAUUUGACAUUGAACCCAUUUUUGUAACAUUAAACUUUGGUAAUAUGUUCAUGGAUGAACAUGCUUUGGUCUAGAACUUCACUAAAUCGGCCCCUAUAAUUGGUGAAAUUUGAAAGUUUCGUGAACACAUGAUACUACAUGAAGGAAGUUGUGUAAACAUUGAAUUAUUAAACCUUAUCAUCGAGUUAAAACUAUGAACAACCUAAUAUAUGAAUUAUUGUUACAUGAUAUAAAUAAAAUAAUCAAUGAGCACUGAGUUAUAUGAGACCUAGUGAGAUAAUCAUCCAGACUAGGGUAUAUAGUGGAUCUUUGGCACGCGCUUACUUUUCCUAAUAGCAACUUUUUGAAAAACAAGUGAAGAAGUUGGGCAGCAAUAUUUUUGCACUGAUACACCAAAAUUAGUCAGUUGAUUGGCGUGUUGGCAAAUAACUCACAUUUGACUGUCAGAAUUGUAUUGAAAAUACCAUUCUUAUAUAAUUUGUCAUGUCUAUUAGAUGAAAAAUUAUUUUGAAAAAACAUAUCUUGUCAAUUGUUGAAAACAUGGUAAGUGGCAAUUUUAUAUUAAAUACUAUUGAAAAGCUAAUUGCAUAUGACGUGAUUUUUAAUCCAAAUUAACUGUUGGUUAUUGAAGAAUCUAAUCUUACAAAGAUCUUAGUGUCUGUUUAGCUGAGAAAAGUCCACAAUGACAAAAACAAUCGUCACACAACACAUGAUUUUGUGAAGCAUCAGAUUACCUUAACAGUGUUUUGUCAAUAGCUUUGUAGGUAACUUUCUGUAGCUUGCAGGCAGAAUUAUUGUGUCGAUAUAAUGGGUCAUCAUUACUAAAAGAUAACUUGACCUCAAAUGCCACAUGAUUUUAGCAAAGCAUUAGAAAAAUAUAUUUCCUUUACUUGUGUUAAGAUAUAGUACUCUGGCUAUAAAUAUGGCCAUAAUAUUGUUUAAUACAAUUCAUACCUGACUUCCACACCAAAGGAGCGAGAGUGUUCACGAAGGUUAGUUUCUGUGUUAAGUUAUUGCAUGCAUGUACUACUAAAGUAGUAACAAUUGUUUUCUUAUUAGUUUUUAGUACUUAAAGCCGGUGUGAAUCUCUUGUGAUCUUACAUCAUGUUCAUGUGCUCAUCAGGGUAAUCAUGAUCAUCAAAUUUGCAAAACCUACACUUGCUGCCGUCAUGGUGAUCCUUUUAGUAGGUACCGCAGUUGUUGAUGCCCAAGGGAAUGCUGAAGCCGAAUUUACUCUUCGAGGGAUCAAAACAAAUAAUCCUACUACGUUUGGUGACAAUAUUCCCCACUCUAGUGACAAGGAAAAACGAAAACAGCUAACCUCUGCCCGUGUACUAGCGCAUGUACUAUCUCGUGAAGACUACUGCAAGAUGUUUAAAUGUCCUUAGUGAAAAAUGGGAUAUACCUAUGGAUGUCCUGGAGUAACAGCAGCUUUCUUCAGGGCCAAUGUUAAGGCCAGUUAAUAGAAUAAAGCACCAGGACUUAAUCAUAAAUGUGAAAAUAUGUACACACUGAACCCUUCUAUGUCAAUGGAAGACUGGUCAUAUAUAAUAAAAUGAAAGUACGUUAACUCUUGUGUUAUGGACUACUUUGUUGUUAGCUUAUUUACUCCGCUAUUGUUUGAAAUGUGUUAUCAUGUAUACACACAUUAGACUGUCUUCCUUGAAUAAUUUUUAUCCAAUGUUCUUGUAGUGUUGAUAUAUUCGAAAUUAUUACUGUAAACACAGCUUACAAAUGAUAAUGUUAUAAUUGAAUUCUGGGAUCUAACGAUUCUUAAUGCUGUAAUGCCUGCUAGCUCAUCACAAGUUUAGGGGGUGUUUGGUUUGGGGCUG
rnacentral:lncRNA from 1 species